AAAUGGCACGAUUGAGAUUAUUUGUGGGGGGAGACAUGACAAGGGAGAAGUUUGGCUCGAUCGAGGAUAGGAACCGAUGGCUAGGCAGGUGAUUCAAAUCCAUAAACAAAGGCAAUAGACCUGCAGCCGUGUCCGCUUAUGGUGUACCAUCUCGACCUCUGCCGCCGAAACACACAAAGGUCAUGGAAGACAACCCGAUAUAUGUUUACUUGAUUGGGGGCUACGAGCCCUCUAUUAUCUUCGAUGGGGCGCUGCUGGGCUAACAUUUACGUUUUCAGGGCCCACAUCCAAGUAUCAAUCAAUUGGAUUCCCGCGACCAGCAGACGGAGCGUGCAGUCAACGGAGAAUUUUCCGAGUAAAUAUAUGACAAACUCUAGUAGUAGAAGCAAAUGCAACC
rnacentral:sRNA from 1 species